GAUGAACGCUGGCGGUGUGCCUAAUACAUGCAAGUCGAGCGAACAGACGAGGAGCUUACUCCUCUGACGUUAGCGGCGGACGGGUGAGUAACACGUGGAUAACCUACCUAUAAGACUGGGAUAACUUCGGGAAACCGGAGCUAAUACCGGAUAACAUGUUGAACCGCGUGGUUCAACAGUGAAAGACGGUCUUGCUGUCACUUAUAGAUGGAUCCGCGUCGCAUUAGCUAGUUGGUAAGGUAACGGCUUACCAAGGCAACGAUGCGUAGCCGACCUGAGAGGGUGAUCGGCAACACUGGAACUGAGACACGGUCCAGACUCCUACGGGAGGCAGCAGUAGGGAAUAUUCCGCAAUGGGCGAAAGCCUGACGGAGCAACGCCGCGUGAGUGAAGAAGGUCUUCGGAUCGUAAAACUCUGUUAUUAGGGAAGAACAAAUGUGUAAGUAAAUAUGCACGUAUUGACGGUACCUAAUCAGAAAGCCACGGCUAACUACGUG
rnacentral:rRNA from 1 species